rnacentral:lncRNA from 1 species
CCCAAAGUGCUGGGAUUACAGGCGUGAGCCACCGCGCCCGGCCAAGGUAAGGACAUUUUGAAAAGCUUGUCUUCUGUCCAAGUUCAGCUGACAGUUACUGGUAAUAAUGUGUGAUUCAGGGGUGAUGGUCUCGGACAUGGGCCCCAGGAGGCCCAGUGCCCCAAGCACUUUCAAGAAAGCUGACCAAGGGGGUCGGCGGAGGACCUGCACCCAGUCACAUAACCAAGGCGCCAGCAGAUAUGCACCUGGCCACAUAACCACGAGGGUCCACAGAGGAUCUGAACCCACCACAUACCCAGCGGGGUCAGAGUGCGGUCCUUCUCCAGGGAGCCAUCCACGUGGUACUGGGAAUGCCUGAUGAGGAAGAUGUGCCGCGUGGCCUUGGCUUUGUAGUGGUCCAGCUUGGACGCCAGCUCUUCUUCCCCAGAUUCCACGUUCCUCUUCCGCACGUUGAUCAGAGACAGUGGUUCUCGCCUGUCCCAGUUGGGGUCCCAGACACCGGGGCCCGGCCGCGCGCCCCCCGCCCAGGCCGGCGGCUCAGCCGGGCGUGGCUCCGCGUCCCCGCCUGCGCGCGGCUUCCCUACCGCCACGGCCGAGAAGAGCACGGCGGCCGAGCCCCCGGCCAGCCCGCAGGCCGCCAGCUGCAGCGCCUGCCGGAACGCCAUGCCGCUUGCUCCCGCGCCGGCCCGCGCAGGCGCCCACGGCCCCGACGGCGCUCCGCGAGGAACACGCUUCCCCCGGCUGCCGCUUCCGGGCGGCGGGGGCGGAAGUCCCGCCUCCUGGGGCGCGGCAGGA